AGUAGCAAGGUCCCUGUAGGAAGGCUCCACAGUUCACCUACUUGAGGACUUUCACCAUUGUCUCCUUGUCUGAAGCCAUCCAGCUCCACGACAUUUUGACGCUUCAGCAACGAAAAAACUAUUUGUUGAUUUCUAAUUUUAACAUCACUAAUCAUCAAUUUGUAUUUCCAAACAAAAUGGCAUCUUUUGAGUCUCAAUUUGAGAUCAUCCCUAUUCAUCUCCCUGAUGAUGCCCCUCAAGAUGUUUUAGAUGCCAUCAAAGCCCUGAACGACUCGUUUUUAUUUCCAAACAAGCCGGUACCUGAUGUUCCUGAUGAGAUCCCAGAUGAUGCCCCUCAAAGUUUUAUAGAUGCCAUGAAAGCCCUAGAGGACAUGGAGAAGGCUGCAUGCAAAGAUGGUAUCACGAGAGAAGAGAUGGCUGCAUAUGUAGCCACUGCCCGUGAGAAAUGUCUUCUCUAUGCACUAGACCCAUCUGAACCAUGCGCCCCGGAGCCAGAGGAAACCAAUAAUGCAACAAGAGGAGGAGGAAGAGUAGAGUAUUUAUUAAUCCCCAGGCAAAAUGACGCACAGAGGGAAAGAAGGGCAUCUAGAAGGAGGAGAAGAAGAAACAAGAAAUGAAUACAAAAUGCACAUGGCAGCAUUUCAUAUAGCAGCCACUCUUCUUCCUUCUUUGUAUUGGUAGCCUAUUUAGCCUAGCAUAAUUUAACAUGUUUCUUCACCCACAUCAUGGAAGAAAGUGGUUCUGCUGAGGACCAAAGCCAAGAGAGCUCACGUAUAACAAGCUCUCGCCUGCCCCAUCUACCCCCCCCCCCAUAAUUUUUUUAAACACUUUGUUGACCCGUUUGGUUUUUAAAACAAACUGCACAGUCAAAAGGUGCAAAUGAUUUGAAGUAACAAUAUGCACUUUAUGUUUGUUUUUAAACGCAAGUUUCAUAUUUCUGUGCUCUUAGUCUUCUCAAAAAUAAAGAACAAAAUUAUA